UACACUUUGUAAAAAUCUUGAAUAGAAUUUGAUAAAACUUCUGACGUUAUUUGGUGUACUUUUGAUGUCUUGGCCAAGGCUUAGGGUCAGACUUCAGGCUCCCUCCUUCCUGCACCGACCCAUUUCUUCUCCUCCAGAGAGGUUCAGAGGCCGAAGCUGAGCCUCCCACAGAA
rnacentral:lncRNA from 1 species